rnacentral:rRNA from 1 species
CGCCAGACUCCUACGGGAGGCAGCAGUGGGGAAUAUUGCACAAUGGGGGGAACCCUGAUGCAGCGACGCCGCGUGAGUGAAGAAGUAUUUCGGUAUGUAAAGCUCUAUCAGCAGGGAAGAAAAUGACGGUACCUGAAGAAGAAGCCCCGGCUAACUACGUGCCAGCAGCCGCGGUAAUACGUAGGGGGCAAGCGUUAUCCGGAUUUACUGGGUGUAAAGGGGGCGCAGACGGCGAUGCAAGCCAGGAGUGAAAGCCCGGGGCCCAACCCCGGGACUGCUCUUGGAACUGCGUGGCUGGAGUGCAGGAGGGGCAGGCGGAAUUCCUGGUGUAGCGGUGAAAUGCGUAGAUAUCAGGAGGAACACCGGUGGCGAAGGCGGCCUGCUGGACUGCAACUGACGUUGAGGCCCGAAAGCGUGGGGAGCAAACAGGAUUAGAUACCCGGGUA